AUUGAACGCUGGCGGCAGGCCUAACACAUGCAAGUCGAACGAGUGGCGGACGGGUGAGAAAUGUAUGGGAAACUGCCUGAUGGAGGGGGAUAACUACUGGAAACGGUAGCUAAUAGCGCAUACCAUCGGAUGUGCCCAGAUGGGAUUAGCUAGUAGGUGGGGUAAAGGCGCACCUAGGCGACGCUCCAUAGCUGGUCUGAGAGGAUGACCAGCCACACUGGAACUGAGACACGGUCCAGACUCCUACGGGAGGCAGCAGUGGGGAAUAUUGCACAAUGGGCGCAAGCCUGAUGCAGCCAUGCCGCGUGUGUGAAGAAGGCCUUCGGGUUGUAAAGUACUUUCAGCGGGGAGGCGUUACCCGCAGAAGAAGCACCGGCUAACUACGUGCCAGCAGCCGCGGUAAUAC
rnacentral:rRNA from 1 species